CGAACGGGUGAGUAACACGUGGGUGACCUGCCCUCCACUCCGGGAUAAGCCUGGGAAACCGGGUCUAAUACCGGAUAGGACCUCUGGGUGCAUGCCUGGUGGUGGAAAGUUUUUUCGGUGGGGGAUGGGCCCGCGGUCUAUCAGCUUGUUGGUGGGGUGAUGGCCUACCAAGGCGACGACGGAUAGCCGGCCUGAGAGGGUGAUCGGCCACACUGGGACUGAGACACGGCCCAGACUCCUACGGGAGGCAGCAGUGGGGAAUCUUGCGCAAUGGGCGGAAGCCUGACGCAGCAACGCCGCGUGAGGGAUGACGGCCUUCGGGUUGUAAACCUCUUUCGCGAUCGACGAAGGUCCGGUUUUUGCUGGGCUGACGGUAGGUCGAGAAGAAGCACCGGCCAACUACGUGCCAGCAGCCGCGGUAAUACGUAGGGUGCGAGCGUUGUCCGGAAUUAUUGGGCGUAAAGAGCUCGUAGGCGGUGUGUCGCGUCGGCCGUGAAAACCUGGGGCUCAACUCUGGGCGUGCGGUCGAUACGGGCAUCACUUGAGUUCGGCAGGGGAGACUGGAAUUCCUGGUGUAGCGGUGAAAUGCGCAGAUAUCAGGAGGAACACCGGUGGCGAAGGCGGGUCUCUGGGCCGAUACU
rnacentral:rRNA from 1 species